AUUGAACGCUGGCGGCAGGCCUAACACAUGCAAGUCGGACGGUAGCACAGAGAGCUUGCUCUUGGGUGACGAGUGGCGGACGGGUGAGUAAUGUCUGGGGAUCUGCCCGAUAGAGGGGGAUAACCACUGGAAACGGUGGCUAAUACCGCAUAACGUCGCAAGACCAAAGAGGGGGACCUUCGGGCCUCUCACUAUCGGAUGAACCCAGAUGGGAUUAGCUAGUAGGCGGGGUAAUGGCCCACCUAGGCGACGAUCCCUAGCUGGUCUGAGAGGAUGACCAGCCACACUGGAACUGGGACACGGUCCAGACUCCUACGGGAGGCAGCAGUGGGGAAUAUUGCACAAUGGGCGCAAGCCUGAUGCAGCCAUGCCGCGUGUAUGAAGAAGGCCUUCGGGUUGUAAAGUACUUUCAGCGGGGAGGAAGGCGGUGAGGUUAAUAACCUUGCCGAUUGACGUUACCCGCAGAAGAAGCACCGGCUAACUCCGUGCCAGCAGCCGCCGCGG
rnacentral:rRNA from 1 species